rnacentral:rRNA from 1 species
UAGGGAAUCUUCCACAAUGGACGAAAGUCUGAUGGAGCAACGCCGCGUGAGUGAAGAAGGGUUUCGGCUCGUAAAACUCUGUUGUUAAAGAAGAACAUAUCUGAGAGUAACUGUUCAGGUAUUGACGGUAUUCAACCAGAAAGCCACGGCUAACUACGUGCCG